GAUGAAGAACGUAGCGAAAUGCGAUAAGUAAUGUGAAUUGCAGAAUUCAGUGAAUCAUCGAAUCUUUGAACGCACAUUGCGCCCGCCAGUAUUCUGGCGGGCAUGCCUGUUCGAGCGUCAUUUCAACCAUCAAGCCCCCCGGCUUGUGUUGGGGACCUGCGGCUGCCGCAGGCCCUGAAAAGCAGUGGCGGGCUCGCUGUCACACCGAGCGUAGUAGAUCUCAUCUCGCUCAGGGCGUGCUGCGGGUUCCGGCCGUUAAACCACCUUCAUAACCCAAGGUUGACCUCGGAUCAGGUAGGAAGACCCGCUGAACUUAAGCAUAUCAAAAGCGGAGGA
rnacentral:misc_RNA from 1 species